UAUUUUGACUAUACAAAGGUAUUGUAAUAAGAUUUUAAUUGAAUGCUAAAAGAAUGGAAAUUUAAAAAAAAACUUUUUUAAAAAUAAAAAUUGAAUUUUUUUUAAUUUGUGCAAAAACAAUUAUACUUAUUAAAGACAAGAAGACCCUAAGAAUUUAAGAUUUUACAAUUAAAAAGUUUUUUUUUUAAAAUCUUGAUUGGGGAGAUCAAAAAAUAUUAAUAACUUUUUAAAAUUUAAAUUGAUCUAUUAUUAAUAAACUAAUGAAUUAAAUACUCUAGGGAUAACAGCGUAAUAAUUUUUGAUAGAUCUUAUUGACAAAAUAGUUUGCGACCUCGAUGUUGGAUUAGGAUUCUUUUUUAAUGAAGAAGUUAAAAAAAGAAGUUUGUUCAACUUUUAAAUUCCU
rnacentral:rRNA from 1 species